rnacentral:rRNA from 1 species
UACGUAGGGUCCAAGCGUUAAUCGGAAUUACUGGGCGUAAAGCGUGCGUAGGCGGCUUCGCAAGUCCGAUGUGAAAUCCCCGGGCUUAACCUGGGAACUGCGUUGGAUACUAUGAAGCUAGAGUGCGGCAGAGGGGGGUGGAAUUCCAGGUGUAGCAGUGAAAUGCGUAGAGAUCUGGAGGAACACCGAUGGCGAAGGCUAGCCCCCUGGGUUAGCACUGACGCUCAUACACGAAAGCGUGGGGAGCAAACAGG